AUUAGGAAUUUAGUAAAAAACAAAAAGAGAGGCGUGCUGCUUUGGAGUAUCCUCAUCGUUCAUCACGACGCAGUUAUAAAGAAAUAGAAUUUGACCUUCAAACUAAAUUAGGCACAGAUGAGCCAAUAGACCGAUCUAUACUUUGGAAGGAGGCAAGGAAAGAUGCAUCGGGAAAUUAUGUAAAUGAACGUGACAAGCUUAUAGGAGAUGCCAUUGAUGACCUUCUAGAUCAAAGAAACGAGGGGACACUUGUAGAGGUUGGGACAAACGAUAUAUUGACACAAGUGUUAGGGAAAAAGGAGCAUCCUGGUAGAGUAAGAGGCCAAAGUCGUGGCGUUACACAAAGAGACUACUUUUUGAAGCCAGCAGGAGGUUUUAGUGGACUUCAACAAUAUCAAUUUCAAUUUCAACAACACCAAUCGCAAAAAUACUUAGAUGACUUUAAAAAGUUAGAGCAAUCGUUUGAGCAAAGACUACGUAGUCAAGCUGAACAAUUUGAAGCAGAACGAAAAAGAGAAAGAGAAGAACGAGAAAGAGAAGAACAAGAACGAGAAUGAGAGUUGUUUUUGACAAAGUUUACAGAAUUAGCAAAUCAAAUUUCAUCAUUAAAAGGAAGUGAAGUGAGUUUGCCUACGAUAGUUUCACCAUCAAGUGAGACCCCUACACCAAUGGAGGUGGUAAACGAGUCUUUAAUU